UAGGCCUUAGCUUAAUUAAAGUUCCUGCUUUGCAUGCAGGCGAUGCGAGAUAACAACUUGCAGGUCUUA
rnacentral:tRNA from 1 species